GCGGAGGGUUACGUGACUGGUACGACACCUUCUUCUUCUUCUUCUGUUUCAUGAUUUUUAAGCUAUUCUGUAAGGUUUCUAGGGUUUUCAGAAGAAUUGGUUGUCGUUAUUUUCCUUGUGUAAUGUUGUUCCUUUUAUGCAUCCUUUGCAAAGACAAGGCUGUUGUUUACGAAUCAACGAUUGAUUUAGAAUCCAUUUUUGAUUUAGUAAAAUAUCCCCCUUAGCAAAUAAUUUGCCUUAUUAUUAUUAUUAUUAUUAUUAUUAUUUUUUCGUUUCUUUUUUUUUUUUUUUUUUUUUUUUUUUCUUUUUUCUUUUUUUUUUUGAUGAUAAAUUCUCUCUCUUAUCAUUUCAUUUGUAUUAAUGUUUCUUUUAGAUUGCCACCACUAACUCAUCAAGAUGCGUAAACAGGUUACUGAACGGCCGUUUCUUGUUCCCCUGCUUUGGUUUUAGCAAAUAAUUUGCCCUUACUUAUUUUUAUUUUUAUAUUUUGAGUUUUGAUGAUAAUAGUCUCUCUCAUUAUAAAUGUUUCUUUCAGUUUGCCACCAACAUGUAUAAUCACCUUACGGUCCUUAAUUACUAAAGUGACUUCUGUGGCUGCUGGUGGCACCGGUUUCGCCUUUCUAAUCUGUAUCGGGAGCUUUAAAAUGGCGGAGUGCCCACAAAAGCGCUCAUAAGCAGGCUAUACUACUGGCAAAAUAUGAUGGUGAGCAAGAAAAGGCUCUAUGGGAGGCUCUACGGGAAAAAUAUGGUGAUUAGCACUACUAGACCUUGCAAACCUUCUAUGGGGUUGUGUUAACGAUUACUUAUGGUCUCUUGGUUCUUCAAAUUUAUUGGAAGAAUAAUACAUAACUUGAUGUUUGGAGGAUAUUUCAUUAUCACUGCAGACAAUUCUAACAGACACAUACUUUUGAGUGGUGACAUUGAGAAGCAACCACAUAUUGUAACCUUGAUUCUUGAUAUCAUUAGAAAGCUUGCAAGAACAGAAGAACUCAUACUUUUGACAGCUUGGGGUCUUCAAGAAAGGCAAUGAACAGUGGCAUCUGAUCUGGACUCUCUUUGAUUUUCACUCUAGGCACACAGAGAAAUUCAACACUAAUUUAAGCAACUCAAGAGAAGCUGAAGAACCCUAACAAAAAAAAAAAAAUUCUCUCAUAUCUUCUGUAUAUAUAUGAAGCUCUAUGCAUUGUCAAGUUCUGCAUGAGAGACUCUACAGGGGACACAACCUCAGACGUCCAAUUUGACUCCACAACUUAAUUGCAACCGUUGGAUCAAAUGAAUGAUUGACCGCACAUUUGUUGCCCUUCGAUCUUUGUCACAAUAUCAGCAAAAAGAGUGUGUACCCGUUGCUCCCUUCAACUGAGAACCAAACAGCCCCUUUGGAUCAGUCUUCUUUUCGAGUAUCCACUUGAAGCUGUCUCAAUUUGUAGUUGGGAGACUAAUAGUUGACCCAACAAUUUGUAGCCGUUAGAUUUAUUACCAAGUUGACCCAUAUGACCUUUAAACUUCUUUUCUUUAUAUAUUUUUAUUAUUAUUAUUAUUUAUAUGUAUUAGAC